rnacentral:lncRNA from 1 species
AUGGGUAUCUUGUGGCAAGAUGGUGCACCGGUUGCAAGUAUUUGGUAUGAGUCACCGAAAAUCAAGGUUGACGGAGACUCAGUAUCCACGGCUGUCGAGAUGUACGGACCAACGCUGAGGUUUUAUGGCCACACACAUCCCCCAAAAUAUCACCAAUCGAAAUCAUUCCGAGAUAGAAUGGAUCCGUUCUUGUAUUCUUAGUGAACAAGUGUCCAAAUCUCACCACAUUAAUAAUUCGAGAACGCAUAUCGACAGCGACAGUGCUGCUGCUGGCAAGUUACGGGAAGAAACUUAAAAACUUGUACAUUCGUCGAAAACGCUGUGAUACUCCGCAACGACUGGCCCAAAAACUCCGAUUGGCCCGAGGGAUUCAGCAUUUGGUUGAAGAAAUCGUGUCGUUCUUACGAAAUAACGGAACAAGAAGUGUCUCAAAUACUCGGCUUCCGGUGGCAGAUGUUGUCCGACAAAGAGUUCAAUAAGAUCUCUCCCAGCGUGCACAACCUGUAAAGAGGUUUACUGAGAAAUAAAAUUCGGUCAUAAUAUCCGUAGUACCGCGUCCUACAUCGACCGUAGUAUUCGGUCCGUUGUUGUAUUGCGAUUUAUGCGACCUUAAUCGUGUGAACAUUUUUGAGAAAUUUGUGGGUUUUGGUGCUGAUUUCCACCUCUGGACGACUUUUUCGUCUCUCGGUGCGGCUCGAAUUGAAUAAUUCUAAUUUUGGAUUUCAUGACAAUUGGACGUAUUUCUUUCAAACGGAACAAUGUGCAUUAAGACAUGAGCUUUGAGACCCAUAAGAAUAUAUGCAUAACAGGGCUCACGUCAUGGUGCAGAUAAUUCCGUUUGGCAGAAAUACGUCCAAUUUAUCAUUUAAUACUCUCGGAAUGAGUCUAACAGAAACCAACCAAGUUUUUGAAGGAAGCAAGAGGUUUUCUGGUUGGAAUGGGUCAGUUGCGCUGGUCAGAGAAUUGCGCUUUAAUGCUUGAUUCUUGAAGAUUAGCUAAAAAUAAUAAAGUCUGUCCGAACAGCAACUUUCUACGUCCAAUAUUAACCGAGAAAUCGCGCUUUGAAAAAUUCGAUUUAUAACGUCAUCAAUGCACCGUGGGAGUGACACCUUUGGUUUCUUCAGCCUUGCUUUCAUCAAUCAGGGUGAAAUACAUUAUAGCACUGGUUACUCAACGAGAAACUCGCAUGAAAGCCAGGUAUAAGAAAACAAAGGGAUGACGAGGAAUGACGUCCAGGGCCGGAUUAAGGGGGUGGCCACAUGGGCCGCGGCCCAUGGCGGCAAAUCUAGGGGGCGGCAAAUUCUGCAAUUUUUUUAAAUGUAGGUAUAAAAAAAAUCGGAUUUAGAAAAAGAAAUUACAAGCGAAAAAAGGCGACAAGAUCUCUCAUUUCCUGAGAGUAUAGUAAUUUCUAAUUUAGUCCGUCUUUCAGUGAUACAAGUGACAGCACCUUUAAUUAGUCGAGUUAAGAGAGAAACCAAACACGCAAUUUGGCCUGGAACGGCGCGACUUGGAGAGAAAUGAUGACGAGGACUUGAGAUGAAAAGGAGAAGCCUCGGCGCGGCGAUCGAUCGGCAUGUAACACAUAUUAGCGCCUACAAGACUGCACGAAUACUUCACGCAUUGCAUCAAACACAGUGCGGUCACUGCGGUCAGCGUGAAACGGACGGCGACUGCAAGAGUGCAUGAAUACUUCACGCAUUACGCCAAACACGGUGCGGUCUGCCUGAGCGGCGCGGCGGAAGUUAAAAUCAUUAAAUCACAUUUAUGUUUGUUCUUUCAUAAUUUUUUCGUUCAUUUCUAAUGAAUCGAAGGCCUUGUCCACAAAGAGAUAGGUUUACGAAACUUAAAUUUCGCGCGAAGUAUUCCGUGAACUUUUGCUAGUAGUGUUGACACGGCUUUCCCAAAAAAUUUAUCCAACACGAGUAAACGCGUCUUAUGCACCCCUCCCCCUCUGGAAUGUUCACUUGAUGGUUUUUAUUGAUGUUUCAAAACGAAUGAGAAGGGGGCGGCAAAAUACAGGCGGCCCAUGGGCGGCAAGUAGGUAAAUCCGGCCCUGAUGACGUCAAAACCCCAACUUUUCAAAGGGUGAUAAUGUGGAAAGUUGCUGUUUGAAGAGAUUUUAUUAUUUUAGUUGAUCUUUAAAAAGCAAGCAUCAAUCACAAUUCUGAGACCAGUGCAACUGACCCAUUAUAUAGAAGGAUUUCAUGAAAAUUCUGAGUUUUUGCUUUGACAAUAAAGUGCGGUAUCAUCAGAUCCAAACAGUAAAUCAAUGAAGCUGGAAAAAUAGAAAAAAAUAAAUAACAGAAGAAAAUAAAAAAAAUCGCCGUCAUGCCGCAGAAAAGGAACAACUUCUGAAAUUUUACCAGCCAUAGGUAAAUGUUUUGACUUUUGCUUAAUCAAAAGCAGACCCCAUAGGUAUCCAUCAUAAAAAUGGUACACCAAAUGCUAAGUGAUUUAUCAAACAUUUCUCAAGUUCCCAUGCCGAGUAUUGCUAUCGCACUGCGAUUGCAAACCAGCUUGUUUUCAUUAGAAAAAGUUUGAUGUUAAUCAACUACAGCACAUUAUUUUCAAACACAAACUGAUGUUUGUCGCAAGGAUUUUUUUUAGUGUUUUGCAGACUUUACAUGGUUCGGCUCGGUAGUUAAUUUGUUUGCAGAAGAACCGACGACUGAAAUUGAAUUCACAGAGAAGAAAUAAAUCUGCAGUUGUUUAAAUUGCAGAUUUAUUGGAACGGCUGAAACUGUAUUCCAAGGAAGGAACUAAGUCCAUCGGUCGUAUUGAAAAACCCGCAUACCACCUACCGGGCAUACUUUUAAUUCUGAAAAAUUCUAGGUAUUCCCGUCAAAUUCAGUAGAUUUUUUCUUGACAGUCGAAAGACCAUGAACACUUACUUUAGAAGACAAAACGAUUUGUGCAGUGUAUGCAAUAAAAUUUGUCCAGACAAUAAAUGCUGUUCUUGCAAGUUGGUCAAACUGUUUUUUGUCCAUUUAAACCCACUACAAUAAAUAUCGAUUCUGGGUGAG